rnacentral:rRNA from 1 species
UACGUAGGGUGCGAGCGUUGUCCGGAAUCACUGGGCGUAAAGGGCGCGUAGGCGGCUUGAUAAGGUUGCGGUGAAAGCCCGGGGCUCAACCCCGGGUCGGCCCGUGGCAACUGUCGAGCUGGAGCACUGUAGAGGCAGGUGGAAUUCCGGGUGUAGCGGUGGAAUGCGUAGAGAUCCGGAAGAACACCAGUGGCCGAAGGCGGCCUGCUGGGCAGUGGCUGACGCUGAGGCGCGACAGCGUGGGGAGCAAACAGG